rnacentral:lncRNA from 1 species
GUGUCAUAGAUUAUUAAUAAAAGAACGUUGAGGAGAUUUUGUCCGUGGAUGUAGGCCAACAAUCAGACCGAACCACGUAAAUCUGAUGUGCUUUUUUUUUCUUAUUUUUAUUGCUUAAUUAUCUCUCAUAUAUUGCAUUCUACAUUUGUUCUAGUUAUCUUUCUUCUACAAAAUGAUCUUGUUUCUGCUGUACUUGUGUGCUGUGUGGAUCGAGGUGUGCUCGAUUAUCCACGGUCUAUUCUUUUAGCCACCAUAGAGAGGAAGGGCUCAUGGGUGAAAUUGGAGGAGGAGAGGAUGAUGAAGAGAAGUGGGUGAGAUAGAAAUGAAGGAAGAAGAGAGAUCAUUAGUGAAAAAUGGGUGGAGGUAGAGAGAACCGCCAUGGAGGAAGAGAAAUAAGUAAGAAGGGGAGAAGGGAGAAGGAGAAGGAAAAAAAAAGAAUGCUGGCAAUGGAGGAGGGAUUAAUUAGAGAGGAGGGA